GAUGAACGCUAGCGGCAGGCCUAACACAUGCAAGUCGAGGGGUAGAGUUAGCUUGCUAACUUGAGACCGGCGCACGGGUGCGUAACGCGUAUGCAAUCUACCUUGUACAGAGGGAUAGCCCAGAGAAAUUUGGCUUAAUACGUCAUAGUGUUAUGAUGUUGCAUCACAUUAUAACUAAAGUUCCAACGGUACAUGAGUAGCAUGCGUCCCAGUAGUUAGUUGGUAAGGUAACGGCUGACCAAGACAAUGAGGGGUAGGGGCCCGGAGAGGGAGAUCCCCCACACUGGUACUGGGACACGGACCAGACUCCUACGGGAGGCAGCAGUGACGAAGAUUGGUCAAUGGGCGCAAGCCUGAACCAGCCGUGCCGCGUGCAGGAUGACGGUCCUAUGGAUUGUAAACUGCUUUUAUACAGGAAGAAACACUCCCUCGUGAGGGAGCUUGACGGUACUGUAGGAAUAAGGAUCGGCUAACUCCGUGCCAGCCGCCGCGGUAAAAC
rnacentral:rRNA from 1 species